rnacentral:rRNA from 1 species
UGCAGUCGACGCGACGAGUUCUUCGGAACUUUAGUAGAGUGGCGCACGGGUGAGUAACGCGUAAGUAAUCUACCCUCGCAUCUGGGAUAACCCACCGAAAGGUGUGCUAAUACCGGAUACGUCUAAGUUAAUCUUUUUUUUAGAGAAAGGUGGCCUCUGAUUCAAGCUACUGUGCGGGGAGGAGCUUGCGUACCAUUAGCUAGUUGGUAGGGUAACGGCCUACCAAGGCGACGAUGGUUAGCGGGUCUGAGAGGAUGAUCCGCCACACUGGAACUGAAACACGGACCAGACUCCUACGGGAGGCAGCAGUGAGGAAUAUUGCGCAAUGGGGGCAACCCUGACGCAGCGACGCCGCGUGGAUGAUGAAGGCCUUCGGGUUGUAAAAUCCUGUCAGAUGGGAAGAAGUGUGUAGUACUUAAUACGUGCUACAUUUGACGGUACCAUCAAAGGAAGCACCGGCUAACUCCGUGCCAGCAGCCGCGGUAAUACG